rnacentral:rRNA from 1 species
AUUUUUAAUGGCCGCGGUAUAUUGACCGUGCAAAGGUAGCAUAAUCAUUAGUCUAUUAAUUGUGGACUUGUAUGAAUGGUUGGACGAAAUAUUAACUGUCUUUAUUUGAUUAUUAUAAUUUAAAUUUUUAGUUAGAAUGCUUAACUUUUUUUAUGGGACGAUAAGACCCUAUAGAUCUUUAUUAUUUUUAUUUUUAAUUAUUUUGGUUUAUUUAUUAUUAAUUUUAAUUGUUUUUUUUGUUGGGGUGACAUAGAGAUAUAUUUAACUCUUUAUUUUUUUUUACAUUAAUUUUUGAUCAAUUGACCUUAUAUUAUUGUUAUAAGAUUAGAUACCUUAGGGAUAACAGCGUAAUUUUCUUUAAGAGUUCAUAUCGACAAGAGAGAUUGCGACCUCGAUGUUGGAUUAAGAUUAUAUUUAGGUGUAGGUGCUUAAUUAUUAGGUCUGUUCGACCUUUAAAUUCUUACAUGAUCUGA